rnacentral:rRNA from 1 species
UGGGGAAUAUUGCACAAUGGGCGCAAGCCUGAUGCAGCCAUGCCGCGUGUGUGAAGAAGGCCUUCGGGUUGUAAAGCACUUUCAGCGGGGAGGAAGGCGGUGAGGUUAAUAACCUCAUCGAUUGACGUUACCCGCAGAAGAAGCACCGGCUAACUCCGUGCCAGCAGCCGCGGUAAUACGGAGGGUGCAAGCGUUAAUCGGAAUUACUGGGCGUAAAGCGCACGCAGGCGGUCUGUCAAGUCGGAUGUGAAAUCCCCGGGCUCAACCUGGGAACUGAUUCGAAACUGGCAGGCUAGAGUCUUGUAGAGGGGGGUAGAAUUCCAUGUGUAGCGGUGAAAUGCGUAGAGAUGUGGAGGAAUACCGGUGGCGAAGGCGGCCCCCUGGACAAAGACUGACGCUCAGGUGCGAAAGCGUGGGGAGCAAACAGG